AGCGCCUCCAAGCUAUGGUGAAGGCGCGGCAAACGGCUCAGUAACACGUGGCCAACCUACCCUUGGGACGGAGACACCCCGGGAAACUGGGGCUAAUCCCCGAUAGGCAAGGAACCCUGGAAUGGAUCCUCACCCAAAAGACGUUGAGUCCAUGCUAUUCAGCGUCGCCCAAGGAUGGAGCCGCGGCCGAUCAGGUUGUUGGCGAGGCAACGGCUCACCAAGCCUAUAACCGGUACGGGCCGUGAGAGCGGAAGCCCGGAGAUGGGCACUGAGACAAGGGCCCAGGCCCUACGGGGCGCAGCAGUUGCGAAAACUCCGCAAUGCGCGAAAGCGUGACGGGGCUACCCCGAGUGCCGUCCGUUGAGGACGGCUUUUCCAUGGUGUAAGGAGCCGUGGGAAUAAGGAGAGGGCAAGCCUGGUGUCAGCCGACGCGGUAAUACCAGCUCUCCGAGUGGUGGGGACGAUUAUUGGGCUUAAAGCGUUCGUAG
rnacentral:rRNA from 1 species